ensembl:piRNA 21ur-7037 ncRNA
UUAUUAUUAUAGAACGGACGA